rnacentral:rRNA from 1 species
UGGGGGAUAUUGCACAAUGGGCGAAAGCCUGAUGCAGCGACGCCGCGUGGGGGAUGAAGGCUUUCGGGUUGUAAACCUCUUUCGCUAUCGAACAAGGCCCGCUUAGGGUGGGUUGAGGGUAGGUGGAGAAGAAGCGCCGGCCAACUACGUGCCAGCAGCCGCGGUAAUACGUAGGGCGCGAGCGUUGUCCGGAAUUAUUGGGCGUAAAGGGCUUGUAGGCGGCUUGUUGCGCCUGCUGUGAAAACGCGGGGCUUAACUUCGCGCGUGCAGUGGGUACGGGCAGGCUUGAGUGUGGUAGUGGUGACUGGAAUUCCAGGUGUAGCGGUGGAAUGCGCAGAUAUCUGGAGGAACACCGAUGGCGAAGGCAGGUCACUGGGCCAUUACUGACGCUGAGGAGCGAAAGCAUGGGUAGCGAACAGG